rnacentral:rRNA from 1 species
UUAGAUACCCUGGUAGUCCAUGCCGUAAACGAUGAGUGCUAGGUGUUGGGGGGCUUCCACCCCUCGGUGCCGGCGUUAACGCAUUAAGCACUCCGCCUGGGGAGUACGGCCGCAAGGCUUAAACUCAAAGGAAUUGACGGGGACCCGCACAAGCGGUGGAGCAUGUGGUUUAAUUCGAAGCAACGCGAAGAACCUUACCAGCUCUUGACAUCUUCUGACAGCUCUAGAGAUAGAGUGUUCCCUUCGGGGACAGAAUGACAGGUGGUGCAUGGUUGUCGUCAGCUCGUGUCGUGAGAUGUUGGGUUAAGUCCCGUAACGAGCGCAACCCUUGUUGUCAGUUGCCAGCAUUUAGUUGGGCACUCUGGCGAGACUGCCGGUGACAAACCGGAGGAAGGUGGGGAUGACGUCAAAUCAGCAUGCCCCUUAUGAGCUGGGCUACACACGUGCUACAAUGGAUGGUACAGCGAGUCGCUAAACCGCGAGGUCAAGCAAAUCUCCUAAAGCCAUUCUCAGUCCGGAUUGCAGGCUGCAACUCGCCUGCAUGAAGCCGGAAUCGCUAGUAAUCGUGGAUCAGAACGCCACGGUGAAUACGUUCCCGGGUCUUGUACACACCGCCCGUCACACCACGAGAGUUCGUAACACCCGAAGUCGGUCGAGCAACUUUAUAGAGCCAGCCGCCGAAGGUGGGAUGGAUGAUUGGGGUG